GACGAACGCUGGCGGCGUGCUUAACACAUGCAAGUCGAACGGAAAGGCCCUGCUUUUGUGGGGUGCUCGAGUGGCGAACGGGUGAGUAACACGUGAGUAACCUGCCCUUGACUUUGGGAUAACUUCAGGAAACUGGGGCUAAUACCGGAUAGGAGCUCCUGCUGCAUGGUGGGGGUUGGAAAGUUUCGGCGGUUGGGGAUGGACUCGCGGCUUAUCAGCUUGUUGGUGGGGUAGUGGCUUACCAAGGCUUUGACGGGUAGCCGGUCUGAGAGGGUGACCGGCCACAUUGAGACUGAGAUACGGCCCAGACUCCUACGGGAGGCAGCAGUGGGGAAUAUUGCACAAUGGGCGGAAGCCUGAUGCAGCAACGCCGCGUGCGGGAUGACGGCCUUCGGGUUGUAAACCGCUUUCGCCUGUGACGAAGCGUGAGUGACGGUAAUGGGUAAAGAAGCACCGGCUAACUACGUG
rnacentral:rRNA from 1 species